UUAUUAUUUUUUGUCAAUGUUCAAUCAAUCAAACAAUAAACGGGAUUCGACAUGCACACUCAUUGCGUGUGCCCGGCCCAUAGUCGUAUAACAAAACUGAAAACAUGGCUAAUGAGGUCAUCCUUUUGGUGUCCCAUUGGAUGACUAUUUGAUUCAUUCUAUAAUCAAAGACGGAAACAGACACAUAUUUCAUGCAAAUCCAAGAUGAGAGACUUAGUUUGUGUAUUUACAAAAUUUUAAUUUCCUGCCCUGCUUUUUAUUUCUUAUAUUAAUGAUGUGUCAAAAUGGUGGUGUGGUUGUGUCUUAAUAAUUGAAUAACUCAAGGCCAGGGCGAUGCCUGUCCAAACGUGCUUUCAACGGUCUGAAUUUAAAAUAAAACUUUCCCAUAAAACACUUUUGAACUACUGUGAUCUGCACUACACGCUCUAGGUGCAUCUAUAGGGUUUCCAAACUAGCAAUUGAAAACAAAAGGCAAAGAGAGAAGAUGAGAUACCUUGCAGUAGGAGACUGUGUGGCAGUAUAGCCUCUUACAACUUUCUUUGAUUUGUCGCUA